rnacentral:rRNA from 1 species
GUUUGAUCCUGGCUCAGAUUGAACSCUGGCGGCAGGCCUAACACAUGCAAGUCGAGCGGAUGAGGGGAGCUUGCUCCCUGAUUUAGCGGCGGACGGGUGAGUAAUGCCUAGGAAUCUGCCUGGUAGUGGGGGAUAACGUUCCGAAAGGAACGCUAAUACCGCAUACGUCCUACGGGAGAAAGCAGGGGACCUUCGGGCCUUGCGCUAUCAGAUGAGCCUAGGUCGGAUUAGCUAGUUGGUGAGGUAAUGGCUCACCAAGGCGACGAUCCGUAACUGGUCUGAGAGGAUGAUCAGUCACACUGGAACUGAGACACGGUCCAGACUCCUACGGGAGGCAGCAGUGGGGAAUAUUGGACAAUGGGCGAAAGCCUGAUCCAGCCAUGCCGCGUGUGUGAAGAAGGUCUUCGGAUUGUAAAGCACUUUAAGUUGGGAGGAAGGGCGUUUGGCUAAUAUCCAGGCGUUUUGACGUCACCGACAGAAUAAGCACCGGCUAACUUCGUGCCAGCAGCCGCGGUAAUACGAAGGGUGCAAGCGUUAAUCGGAAUUACUGGGCGUAAAGCGCGCGUAGGUGGUUCGUUAAGUUGGAUGUGAAAGCCCCGGGCUCAACCUGGGAACUGCAUCCAAAACUGGCGAGCUAGAGUACGGUAGAGGGUGGUGGAAUUUCCUGUGUAGCGGUGAAAUGCGUAGAUAUAGGAAGGAACACCAGUGGCGAA